CCAAAGCCAGGCGCUGUGGCGCAUGCCAUCAUCCCAGCAUUCCGGAGGCUGAGGCAGGAGGAUCGCUGCGAGUUGGAGGCCAGCCUGGGCUACAUAGUUCGAGACCAGCUGGAACUACAUAGCGAGACUGCCUCAAGAAACCAAAAACAGGUCUCACUGUGUAGCUCAGGCUAGCCUCAAGCUUGCAGCGAUCCUCCUGUCUUGGCUUCCCGAGUGCUGGGACUGCAGAAGUGGGCCUCCACACUGAGCACCACCCAGCCCACUUUUCUGAUGAAGCAACCAGGCCUAGGGAGGCCCUGCCGACUGGCUCACUGGCUUCUCCCAGGCCAUCUUUUGUUUUCACUGGACUUCCAGAGCAGCUGGUCCACACUGACCUUCUUCAUGUUCUGUUGAACUCCCUGUGCAUCUGGUCCCUGAGUCCAGCCCCCAGCCUCACCUGUCUGCUCUGCACACGUGUAUCCUCAACUAAUUAGGCUGGGAGCCCUGGAAACACUGGCUAGCGGGGAGGGUCAGAGAACACAGCCUGGCCAAUCAGAACAUCCCAAGUCCCUAGAUGUAGUGACUGAUUUGGGGGACAGCCAAUGAGAUUCUGCUCUAGGACUUUUGGUGGAAUUAUGGGAAAAGAGACACUGAUUCCUGAGGCUGGAGGUUGUUGGGAUGGAAAUGCAGGCUGCUGAUGACCACUCCCCCCCCCUCCAUGUGAAUACACACAAUCUGAUGUCAAGCAGAAGUGAAGUCCCCAGGGAGGAAAACAUUAGACAAGCAGAGAAAGACACAACUCCCCACACACACACCAUUUGAGCACCUGGAUCCAACCAUGCCUGAAACUUCUCUGGCCCCUAAAUAACUUUUCAGCUCACCGAGCCUAUAAAUCUGUCCGCUUAAAUAAAGGUUUCUAUCACCUGCAACUUAAAAAUAGCCAAUUCUUGAUCCUGAGAUUCUGAUAUGCAUUUUGCACACGUGGGUGGACAGACCCUCAAAGAUGCAGCCAACGAUCACAUCGCUGGUGAGGCAUGGAGGCUGGAUGGGAACUCAGGCC
rnacentral:lncRNA from 1 species